rnacentral:lncRNA from 13 species
UCUCCUCUCUUCUCUUCUUUCUCCGCUUUCCAGACUCUUUUAACUCCAUCCCUCCAUCCCUGGAGAAGAAAGAGCUCAAACAAAACAAAGGAAGAAGGACUAUAGGAGAUGGAUAAAAAGCCAAUCCACUUUCUUGGACACACAAUCGAGCCUUAAGCUAAGUGUUAUUGGAGGAAAGCCAUGUGUGGAGAAGCUAGUGCCACAUCUAUCCUGGAGUAGAGAGACAGUACAACCGCCUGGGUCUUGGAUGAAUAGGCCUCGUGCUACUUUCUACAUUUCUGCUUUUCUUUGGUUUCGCCCAACUGUUUCGCCCAACUGUUCUGUUUUAGGUUCCAUGAAAAAAGGUUAACUGAGACAGAUUUUUGUGUUUUGAAGUCAAUCUGGGUUGAGUUUUAGAAUUGGUUGUGCCUGGAGCAAAACGAAAAGAGAGUGAGUGAGCAAAAAAGAGAAAAGAGAGUGGGGUGGAGGGAUGACUGGAUGGAGGAUGAAGGGGUAGAGGUGGUGAACUCUGACUCUUCUCCAAGUGCCUUGGAGCUCUCUCUCUAGGACUGAUUGAACUGGGAGCUGAGACGUAGAUUGAGGCCCUAAUGGCACCCUAUUCCCUAUGUAGCACACUAUCAGGCUCUGGUCACAAGUACUGCACUACUAUAGGGAAUAGGGCUCUGGUCCAUAGUAGUGCACUAUAUAGGGAAUAGGGCUCUGGUCUAUAGUAGUGCACUAUAUAGGGAAUAGGGUUCUGGUCUAAAGUCGUGCACUAUAUAGGGAAUAGGGCCCUGGUCACAAGUACUGCACUGUAUAGGGAAUAGGGCUCUGGUCUAAAGUAGUGCACUAUAUAGGGAAUAGGGCUCUGGACAAAAGUAGUGCACUAUAUAGGGAAUAGGGUUUGGGACUGGGCCAUAGUAUUACCUAUCCUGUCUGUGAGAGAGAACCACUCUCUCAAACCAACCACAUGGUUGUCACUAGUUACCACAGCCACAAAGUCAAAAUUGGCUAUAUCGCAAAAAUUAUUAAUUUAAGGUUAAAGUUGUGUAUGAGGUUGUCAUUGUGGUUAAGGUUAUGGCUAAGGUUUUAAAAUAGAAUUGAAUCAGAUCAUUUGUAGAAAUAUCAAUAAUGAUGACUUUGUGUCUGUGUUAACUAGACAGAUUACUGUUUGUAGACUGUACAGAAAUAUGAUUUGGUUAUUAUUUAAUAAAGGCUGAAUAACAUGGGUAGUGUUUGUUAUUAUGGCUGCACACACACACACACACACACACACACACACACACACACACACAGGUGACAGCGGGGGAACUGUUAGGGUUAGAAUCACAUAAUUAACACUGCAUUCAACCCUGUGUAAAUCAGUAAAUUCUUAACGUAAAGACUUUAAACUCAGGAUUCUGCAAAAGCCUCCCCCAGUGAGGAUAUGUGUUUACUCUUAGCUUCCUGUGCCAACCGGAAGUGCCUUAAAUUGGGGUCAUAAGGGCUGUAGGGGCUGUUUAGAAGGGUUAAAAAAGUCACAUCUUUCCAAAGCAACCCUUAUGAAAAUCAGUAAUUUCUCCAAUCAGAUUUCCAAGAAAAGUCCCCCCACACACAGCAAGGACGGAGUGACAUAGUGUGGGGAUUAUAGACACACAGGGCCUGCAAUAGUUAUCUUCGUUCGAACUAUCAAAGAACCGUCAGACCUGGAGGUCUGAAACUUUAGAAACCUGUUCUAGAGCUCAAGUCGAUAGUGCACGGUGAGUUAUCUGGCUCUAGAUGGUUCUUGCACCGAGAAACAGCCACAUACAUUUGCAACAACUUCAAUUCAUUUUGACAAUCACGAAAAUGAUGACAUUUAGAAAAGUCCCAGAGUCGCAAGACUAGGUGCAUUGAAACCGCCUCGGCCCAUAGAGACGGAUCCUAACGUUUCUGUCUGAUAGCUCAUUCAAGGACCCCGUAACAAUGCCCAGAAAAUGAGGAUUUUCAGCACCAAUUAAGGUCACUGCUCGGGCUCCAAAUAACCUAUCGAGCUGAAACUCGGGAUUCGGGGUCGCCUCACACACAUAAUAUCAGAACUGUACCCGCAGCUAGAACAUAACUACGUGUUUUACAUUUUUAUUAUGUUUUAAACUGAAGGCGCUGUGAUUUAUGGGCCUGCUCUGAAAUAUGUGAUAGUUGGCUUCUAAACAAUUUGGAAAAAGUGGGUUUGGUGUCAGUUUGUAUCAGUUUGGUGUCAGAAUGAUAUCUAAUUUACUGAUGGACGAUGACUUGCUGCCUGACUUUUGUCCAUUUGCAGUAUGUUUAAACAGUGAUAGACCAUCACCAAAUUGACAUUCUGAAAUCAACACCAACGAGCGAUGGAGAGGAGCCAGAGUCACUGCCUGGCCAUCCCAAGUUCAUCGGGCCAGUCAAUUUUUUAAUUCCUGCAGCAAUUUGUGAUGGUAAAUGCCCAUUAAAACAUAUUGCAAAUGGACAGCCGUGCACCUGGUGAUGGGUUACCAGGAGCAUAUUUUUAAAAUGGUUUUUUAAUGCCUUUAGGUGGGAGCAAGGGGUCUACGGUUGGGUAGGGAGCACCCCCCACCCGUGUCCAUCCAAUAGCCCCUGGUCAUUUUGGACAUUUUUCAAAAAAUUGUUAAACAACAACAGAGUCCCACUUCUCCCUCAUCAUACAUGACAAAUAGACCAUUUACGUUGAUUCAUGGCUUAACAUGGUGCUAUAUAUUAUUUGGGCAGUAUAAAUGCCAUUUAGACAUGGUUCACUGACUUUUGGGUUUGGAAACUGACUUCCUAUGAUAAAUGGACAUAACAUCCUGAUUUGGCACUUUCAAUACUUUCAUAUUGCAUUUGGACAUUUCUUAUGGCAUUUGGCAAUGGUUCACUGAUUUUUGACUUGGACUUUUGACUUCCUAUGAAAUCAUAUUGCAAAAGGACAAAACAUAUGCCUUAUGGACAAUUUUAAAAAUGAUGACAAUAAAAUAUGACAGUAUGUUCAUACAGUUCUUAUACAUGUGACAAAAGAAAUCGAAAGAAUUUCAAAAAACGGUCCAGGAAGCACUUUUUUAUUAAGGGGGUGAUACGUUUUAUUUUUAAUUUUUAUUUUUUCUAAAUUUGACCCUUGGGAGCGCGUAUUUUUAAUGUGUGACACUGUGCUCUCUCAAUUCAAUUCAAGGUUUUUAUUGGCAUGGGAAACAUAUGUUAACAUUGCCAAAGCAAGUGAAGUAGAUAAUAAACAAAAGUGAAAUAAACAAUUGAAAUGAACAGUAAACAUUACACUCACAGAAGUUCCAAAAGAAUAAAGACAUUUCAAAUGUCAUAUUAUGUUCACAUAUAUAUAUAUAUAUAUAUACAGUGUUGUAAUGAUGUGCAAAUAGUUAAAGUACAGAAGG